GGUGAUGUCGGGGUCUUAUUUGUAUGACUGUGGAGUUAGUUUUUUUUUUAUCUAACUGAGGUCUGGUGGGCGAUGUCUGGGUCUUAUUUGUGUGACUGUGGAGUUAGUUUUUUUUAUCUAACUGGGGUCUGGUGGGUGAGGUCGGGGUCUUAUUUGUAUGACUGUGGAGUUAUUUUUUUUUUAUCUAACUGAGGUCUGGUGGGCGAUGUCUGGGUCUUAUUUGUGUGACUGUGGAGUUAGUUUUUUUUAUCUAACUGGGGUCUGGCGGGUGAUGUCGGGGUCUUAUUUCUAUGACUGUGGAGUUAGUUUUUUUUAUCUAACUGGGGUCUGGUGGGCGAUGUCGGGGUCUUAUUUGUGUGACUGUGGAGUUAGUUAUUUUUAUCUAACUGAGGUCUGGUGGGCGAUGUCGGGGUCUUAUUUGUGUGACUGUCUAGUUAGUUUUUUUUUUUAUCUAACUGAGGUCUGGUGGGCGAUGU